rnacentral:rRNA from 1 species
AGUGAACGCUGGCGGUAGGCCUAACACAUGCAAGUCGAACGGCAGCACAGUAAGAGCUUGCUCUUACGGGUGGCGAGUGGCGGACGGGUGAGGAAUACAUCGGAAUCUACUUUUUCGUGGGGGAUAACGUAGGGAAACUUACGCUAAUACCGCAUACGACCUACGGGUGAAAGCAGGGGAUCUUCGGACCUUGCGCGAUUGAAUGAGCCGAUGUCGGAUUAGCUAGUUGGCGGGGUAAAGGCCCACCAAGGCGACGAUCCGUAGCUGGUCUGAGAGGAUGGUCAGCCACACUGGAACUGAGACACGGUCCAGACUCCUACGGGAGGCAGCAGUGGGGAAUAUUGGACAAUGGGCGCAAGCCUGAUCCAGCCAUACCGCGUGUGUGAAGAAGGCCUUCGGGUUGUAAAGCCCUUUUGUUGGUAAAGAAAAGCAGCAGGUUAAUACCCCGCUGUUCUGACGGUACCCAAUGAAUAAGCACCGGCUAACUUCGUG